rnacentral:rRNA from 1 species
GGAGUCUGGACCGUGUCUCAGUUCCAAUGUGACCGUUCAUCCUCUCAGACCGGUUACCGAUCGCAGGCUUGGUACGCUCUUACCCUACCAACUACCUAAUCGGACGCAGGCUCCUCGCAAAGCGAUAAAUCUUUAGUAAGUUACUCAUGCGAAUUACUUACAACAUUCGGUAUUAGCAGCCCUUUCGAACUGUUGUCCCCAUCUUUGCGGCAGAUUACCUACGCGUUACUCACCCGUUUGCCACUAAACUAAAAGUUCCGUUCGACUUGCAUGUGUUAAGCACGCCGCCAGCGUUGUCCUCGAGCCACGGAUCAAACUACU